GGCCCCUUCGUCUAACGGCUAGGACACCAGGUUUUCAUCCUGGCAACAGGGGUUCGAUUCCCCUAGGGGUCA
rnacentral:tRNA from 1 species